ACCGUAACGGUCACCAGGCAGGGUAUGCACGACCAGAUUCUGCAGCAGUCCGACGCCCUUAAUGGACUCCGCCAGUUCGCUGACGGACUCCGCAGAAUACGGCACCGUGCGCACAUUCAGCGGUGAUUUAAUCAGCGAGGCCAGCGGCACGCUCACUUCCUCCGUCUGCGCCAGCAGGGCAGACAGGGCGGUUUCCUGUUCUUUUGACGAUUUACGGCUGGAUUUACGCUCCGUUUUUGCCUUAGACUCUGUAACUGACAUAGUUAGUACCUCCCAAAACGGUAAUAAUGAUUGUCUGCCGGACGCGUUCCCGUCCGGCACCUCUCUUACUUAAGAAUCCCGAAAUCCCUGAUGUACCGGUUCAUC
rnacentral:rRNA from 1 species